AGUGUGUUGCCCGCUGCGCC
rnacentral:misc_RNA from 1 species